rnacentral:rRNA from 1 species
UACGUAGGUGGCAAGCGUUAUCCGGAAUUAUUGGGCGUAAAGCGCGCGCAGGUGGUUUCUUAAGUCUGAUGUGAAAGCCCACGGCUCAACCGUGGAGGGUCAUUGGAAACUGGGAGACUUGAGUGCAGAAGAGGAAAGUGGAAUUCCAUGUGUAGCGGUGAAAUGCGUAGAGAUAUGGAGGGACACCAGUGGCGAAGGCGACUUUCUGGUCUGUAACUGACACUGAGGCGCGAAAGCGUGGGGAGCAAACAGGAUUAGAAACCCGAGUAGUCC